rnacentral:rRNA from 1 species
UACGUAGGGCGCAAGCGUUGUCCGGAAUUAUUGGGCGUAAGAGCUCGUAGGCGGUCUGUCGCGUCGGCUGUGAAACUCGGGGCUCAACCCGAGCCUGCAGUCGAUACGGGCAGACUAGAGUGCUGUAGGGGAGACUGGAAUUCCUGGUGUAGCGGUGAAAUGCGCAGAUAUCAGAGGAACACCAAUUGCGAAGGCAGCUCGCUGGGACGUUACUGACGCUGAGACGCGAAAGCGUGGGGAGCAAACAGG